CUUUGGACACGCAAAGAGGUCCAAGGCGGAAGGAG
ncrna:Holdemania massiliensis AP2 L31-Firmicutes ribosomal protein leader